GACGAACGCUGGCGGCGUGCCUAAUACAUGCAAGUAGAACGCUGAAGAGAGGAGCUUGCUCUUCUUGGAUGAGUUGCGAACGGGUGAGUAACGCGUAGGUAACCUGCCUUGUAGCGGGGGAUAACUAUUGGAAACGAUAGCUAAUACCGCAUAACAAUGGAUGACACAUGUCAUUUAUUUGAAAGGGGCAAUUGUUCCACUACAAGAUGGACCUGCGUUGUAUUAGCUAGUAGGUGAGGUAAUGGCUCACCUAGGCGACGAUACAUAGCCGACCUGAGAGGGUGAUCGGCCACACUGGGACUGAGACACGGCCCAGACUCCUACGGGAGGCAGCAGUAGGGAAUCUUCGGCAAUGGGGGCAACCCUGACCGAGCAACGCCGCGUGAGUGAAGAAGGUUUUCGGAUCGUAAAGCUCUGUUGUAAGUCAAGAACGGGUGUGAGAGUGGAAAGUUCACACUGUGACGGUAGCUUACCAGAAAGGGACGGCUAACUACGUGCCAGCAGCCGCGGUAAUACGUAGGUCCCGAGCGUUGUCCGGAUUUAUUGGGCGUAAAGCGAGCGCAGACGGUUUGAUAAGUCUGAAGUUAAAGGCUGUGGCUCAACCAUAGUUCGCUUUGGAAACUGUCAAACUUGAGUGCAGAAGGGGAGAGUGGAAUUCCAUGUGUAGCGGUGAAAUGCGUAGAUAUAUGGAGGAACACCGGUGGCGAAAGCGGCUCUCUGGUCUGUAACUGACGCUGAGGCUCGAAAGCGUGGGGAGCGAACAGGAUUAGAUACCCUGGUAGUCCACGCCGUAAACGAUGAGUGCUAGGUGUUGGAUCCUUUCCGGGAUUCAGUGCCGCAGCUAACGCAUUAAGCACUCCGCCUGGGGAGUACGACCGCAAGGUUGAAACUCAAAGGAAUUGACGGGGGCCCGCACAAGCGGUGGAGCAUGUGGUUUAAUCCGAAGCAACGCGAAGAACCUUACCAGGUCUUGACAUCCCGAUGCUAUUUCUAGAGAUAGAAAGUUACUUCGGUACAUCGGUGACAGGUGGUGCAUGGUUGUCGUCAGCUCGUGUCGUGAGAUGUUGGGUUAAGUCCCGCAACGAGCGCAACCCCUAUUGUUAGUUGCCAUCAUUCAGUUGGGCACUCUAGCGAGACUGCCGGUAAUAAACCGGAGGAAGGUGGGGAUGACGUCAAAUCAUCAUGCCCCUUAUGACCUGGGCUACACACGUGCUACAAUGGUUGGUACAACGAGUUGCGAGUCGGUGACGGCGAGCUAAUCUCUUAAAGCCAAUCUCAGUUCGGAUUGUAGGCUGCAACUCGCCUACAUGAAGUCGGAAUCGCUAGUAAUCGCGGAUCAGCACGCCGCGGUGAAUACGUUCCCGGGCCU
rnacentral:rRNA from 1 species